rfam:Postia placenta Mad-698-R POSPLscaffold_108_Cont4882, whole genome shotgun sequence.
GGGCGUUUGGCACAGUGGUAGCGCGCACGCUUUGCAUUCUAGUUUGUACUUGCGUGAGGUCGAGGGUUCAAACCCCUCAACGUCCA